UCGAGCCCACCUUCAGACA
rnacentral:tRNA from 1 species